CAAACAACAAACAACAAACAACAAACAACAAACAACAAACAACAAACAACAAACAACAAACAACAAACAACAAACAACAAACAACAAACAACAAACAACAAACAACAAACAACAAACAACAAACAACAAACAACAAACAACAAUAACGACGACGACAACGACAACGACAAAAAAAAGCGAAAGCAGGAACGGAAACAAUUGCCGCAGAACCGUAUUUUCACCAUUAAUAAUUCAAGAAACCAAGUUGGUAGAAUAGUGUGUAUUUUGAGACAUUAAAAUAAAUUAAAUAAUCCAAUAACCUUUUAAACUGCUUUAAAUAUCUCUCACGAAUUGUAAGUACUAGUUAAAACAUGAGCAGCCGAUUUUUAUCUGAUAUACAAACUCGAGCCGAAGAAUAGACAUUGUCUUAGCCGAGAAAAUCAAAGCUGAA